AGCGAACGCUGGCGGCAGGCCUAACACAUGCAAGUCGAACGAACUCUUCGGAGUUAGUGGCGGACGGGUGAGGAACACGGGGGAACGUGCCGGUUGGUUCGGAAUAACUCAGGGAAACUGGGGCUAAUACCGAAUGUGCCCUUCGGGGGAAAGAUUUAUCGCCAGUAGAGCGGCCCGCGUCUGAUGAGCUAGUUGGGGAUGUAACGGCUCACCAAGGCGACGAUCAGUAGCUGGGCUGAGAGGAUGACACGCCACACUGGGACUGAGACACGGCCCAGACUCCUACGGGAGGCAGCAGUGGGGAAUCUUGCGCAAUGGGCGAAAGCCUGACGCAGCCAUGCCGCGUGAAUGAUGAAGGUCUUAGGAUUGUAAAAUUCUUUCACCGGGGACGAUACUGACGGUACCCGGAGAAGAAGCCCCGGCUAACUUCGUG
rnacentral:rRNA from 1 species